UAUGGCCACAUCACAUUGAAACAUUGGUUUCCGUAUGAUCACCAAAGUUAAGCAAAGCCAAGGCUGGUCAGUACCUAGAUGGGUGACCACUUGAGAAUACUGGGUGCUGUAAG